AGUCGUAACAAGGUCUCCGUUGGUGAACCAGCGGAGGGAUCAUUACCGAGUUUACAACUCCCAAACCCAAUGUGAACGUUACCAAACUGUUGCCUCGGCGGGAUCUCUGCCCCGGGUGCGUCGCAGCCCCGGACCAAGGCGCCCGCCGGAGGACCAACCAAAACUCUUAUUGUAUACCCCCUCGCGGGUUUUUUUAUAAUCUGAGCCUUCUCGGCGCCUCUCGUAGGCGUUUCGAAAAUGAAUCAAAACUUUCAACAACGGAUCUCUUGGUUCUGGCAUCGAUGAAGAACGCAGCGAAAUGCGAUAAGUAAUGUGAAUUGCAGAAUUCAGUGAAUCAUCGAAUCUUUGAACGCACAUUGCGCCCGCCAGUAUUCUGGCGGGCAUGCCUGUCCGAGCGUCAUUUCAACCCUCGAACCCCUCCGGGGGGUCGGCGUUGGGGAUCGGCCCUGCCUUGGCGGUGGCCGUCUCCGAAAUACAGUGGCGGUCUCGCCGCAGCCUCUCCUGCGCAGUAGUUUGCACACUCGCAUCGGGAGCGCGGCGCGUCCACAGCCGUUAAACACCCAACUUCUGAAAUGUUGACCUCGGAUCAGGUAGGAAUACCCGCUGAACUUAAGCAUAUCAAUAA
rnacentral:misc_RNA from 1 species